UGCUGAGGGUCAGGCUGGACUG
rnacentral:miRNA from 1 species